UACAGAGGUCCCAAGCGUUGUUCGGAAUCACUGGGCGUAAAGGGCGCGUAGGCGGCUUUAUAAGUCGGGGGUGAAAGCCUGUGGCUCAACCACAGAAUUGCCUUCGAUACUGUAGAGCUUGAGACCGGAAGAGGUAAGUGGAACUGCGAGUGUAGAGGUGAAAUUCGUAGAUAUUCGCAAGAACACCAGUGGCGAAGGCGGCAUCCUGGACCAACACUGACGCUGAGGAGCGAAAGCCAGGGGAGCAAACGGG
rnacentral:rRNA from 1 species